rnacentral:rRNA from 1 species
UACGGGGGGGAGCAAGCGUUGUUCGGAUUUACUGGGCGUAAAGGGCGCGUAGGCGGCCAGCACAAGUCAGUUGUGAAAUCUCCGAGCUUAACUCGGAACGGUCAACUGAUACUGUGCGGCUAGAGUGCAGAAGGGGCAACUGGAAUUCUUGGUGUAGCGGUGAAAUGCGCAGAUAUCAGGAGGGAACACCGGUGGCGAAGGCGGGUCUCUGGGCCGAUAACUGACGCUGGAGGAGCGAAAAGCGUGGGGAGCGAACAGG